UGUAAGAAACACAUCAAAGCCCUGGAGCGUGUCCAGAGGAAGGCAACAGAGCUGGUGAGGAGUCUGGAGCACAGGCCUUAUGAGGAGCGGCUGAAGGAGCUGGGAUUGUUCAGUCUAGAGAAGAGGAGGCUCAGGGGAGACCUUAUUGCUCUCUAUAACUACCUGAAGGGAGGUUGUAGUGAGCUGGGGGUCGGCCUCUUCUCUCGGGUGACUAGUGAUAGGACUAGAGGGAAUGGCUUCAAGCUGCACCAGGGAAGGUUCAGGCUGGACGUUAGGAAAUACUACUUCUCUGAAAGGGUGGUCAGGCACUGGAAUGGGCUGCCCAGAGAGGUGGUGGAGUCACUGAUCCAGGUGGUGUUCAAAGAGCAUUUGGACGUUGUGUUGAGGGACAUGGUUUAGCGAGAACCAUUGGUGAUGGGUGAAUGGUUGGACUGAAUGAUCCUGUGGGUCUUUUCCAACCUUAGCGAUUCUAUGAUUCUAUGGAAAUAGAGCUCAGCCCUGGUUUCUGAUUGAUUUUCUUUUUUCUUCUCCAAAUCUCCAGCAGAGUAAGUGGGAUUGGGUAGAUACACAUGGAAGCAGCCAAAUCUCAGACCUCUCCCCAGGAUGCUAGCUGUCUGCUGCCAAUUUGUUCUCUCUUCAACCAUGCCACACCAUAUGUGCAAGUCUACAGAAAUUUACACGCAAUGUCUACAGUGUAUAAGUGUCUAGACGAAAAUGUAAGAGCAUUACUAGUGAAAGAAAUAGAAAUGAAACAACACUAUCUCUCAUUUCUGCCUUGUUAACUGUCUGUCAAACAUGCUAGUUUUACAGCCUCCUUUCUUAUCACCACACGGUGACAGACAACUCAGAUUUUCACUCUGAAAGCCUGACAACCUUCCCCAUACCACUGGCCUCCCAUCUUGGCACAGUCCAUUUCCGUCUUGUUGAUGCCAUCCAGAUUCUUCCUGUUUGCUAACAGAUGUAUUUUUGUGUUCAAUUAUAACAGCCAUGCUAUCAACUCACGGACAUAUACAGGACAGCAGCGGAAUCAGGAGAUUUCUAGGAACAGUACAUUUUGCUUGUGUUGCUGAACUGUUGCCCACUGGAAUGCUUAUGAACAAAGAUUUGAAGAACCCAUUUGCUAUUGUAUUUACCAAGCAAGGUGUAUCCAGAUUCUGGGUAUUCUAUAGGAGCAACCAACAAGAAAAAGUGCCAAAUGGGGAGACAGAGGUGCUCCCAGCCACCUUCUUCAGUCUACUGGGCAUUUGGAAGACAGUCCUCUUUUGAUUUGCCAUGAAUAAGCCUCUUAUGCUAAGCUCCAAAGAGAUGCAAACACAAAGAUAAGUUCAUUUCCUCUCCUUACAGAACAUAACUUUUCUUACAGUAGUUCAAUAGCUACUUCGUAUGGUGUUAUUCUGAGUGAGUACAUGAACUCUCAUUGAAUGGAGAACCAGUUUCCUUCAGAUGCUGAACCUGAACUCUGUAUCUAGGAAAUGUUCUAGGACAAUUCAGGCCAACUUUACCUCCAG
ensembl:lncRNA